CAUGACUGAAACCCCACAUUACUUCUGCUGUGGACUGUACCAAUCUAAAAAAAAUAGCAUAGGUAGAUAUGUGAUGAUCAGCAGUUUCGUACAUUUGGCAUGAAUAAUAAUCACUCACAUAAAACAUUUUCCUAUGUACACCCUAAUCGGCACGCACGGCACACAGCAAACCGACAACAUAUUCACAACAACACAACACAACAUUGGUCCGAUCCAACAGUGCAACUUUCCAAGCUCGUCUACUUUGUAUGUGCUUAUCUAAGACACUUUGACUUCCUUGCCCUCCCGAUCUUCUGAAAGCUCGUGGACGCGGACUGUGGUCAGGUCAACUGGACAGAAUCUGUGGUACUGUCUCGUCCCCUUCACAGUUUUGGC